AACCUGGUUGAUCCUGCCAGUAGUCAUACGCUCGUCUCAAAGAUUAAGCCAUGCAUGUGUAAGUUCAAUGAUUUGACCAAAAAACUGCGAAUGGCUCAUUAUAUCAGUUAUAGUUUAUUUGAUAGUCCCUUACUACUUGGAUACCCGUAGUAAUUCUAGAGCUAAUACAUGCGUAAACACUCGACCUUUGGAAGAGUGGUAUUUAUUAGAUUGAAACCAACCCGUUUCGGCGGUGUCCUGGUGAUUCAUAAUAACUUUUCGGAUUGCAUUGCAACAUUUAUUCAAGUUUCUGCCCUAUCAGCUUUGACGGUUAGUGUA
rnacentral:rRNA from 1 species